rnacentral:lncRNA from 1 species
UCUGUGUGAAGUUUGUUUCUUAGUGAUAGCCAAAGGAAAACCCGAGUUUUUUUGGGGAUAGCUGCUUUCCAAAUUAUCUUGUGAUAUAGGGACCUUGGACUUCCAUUAUUCACGAAUAUAUAAUAAAAGUGAACUAAAAAAAAAAAGCUAUUGAGGGUUAACUUCCAUAUUGGCACACCGGCAGGUUAUGAGGGUCUUAUUAAUGCAAGAGUUAUAUCAAGUGUGUGG